UGGUCAUUUAGAGGAAGUAAAAGUCGUAACAAGGUUUCCGUAGGUGAACCUGCGGAAGGAUCAUUAUUGAAUAAACCUGAUGUGGCUGUUAGCUGGCUUUUCGAAGCAUGUGCUCGUCCGUCAUCUUUAAUCUCUCCACCUGUGCACAUUUUGUAGUCUUGGAUACCUCUCGAGGCAACUCGGAUUUUAGGAUCGCCGUGCUGUAAAAGUCAGCUUUCCUCUCAUUUCCAAGACUAUGUUUUUAUAUACACCAAAGUAUGUUUAAAGAAUGUCAUCAAUGGGAACUUGUUUCCUAUAAAAUUAUACAACUUUCAGCAACGGAUCUCUUGGCUCUUCUUGGUCAUUUAGAGGAAGUAAAAGUCGUAACAAGGUUUCCGUAGGUGAACCUGCGGAAGGAUCAUUAUUGAAUAAACCUGAUGUGGCUGUUAGCUGGCUUUUCGAAGCAUGUGCUCGUCCGUCAUCUUUAAUCUCUCCACCUGUGCACAUUUUGUAGUCUUGGAUACCUCUCGAGGCAACUCGGAUUUUAGGAUCGCCGUGCUGUAAAAGUCAGCUUUCCUCUCAUUUCCAAGACUAUGUUUUUAUGGUGUGAUAAUUAUCUACGCCGUGGAUGUGAAGCAGCUUUAUGAAGUUCAGCUUCUAAUCGUCCAUUGACUUGGACAAU
rnacentral:rRNA from 1 species